ACAACAUUCGGACCGUCGGUCUACCGAGCAAUAUCACCCGCUCGGUGGAAGAUCUUCCCCUCCGUCGU
rnacentral:pre_miRNA from 1 species